UACGUAGGGGCCUAGCGUUGUCCGGAAUUAUUGGGCGUAAAGGGUGCGUAGGCGGCGCGGUAAGUCGGGUGUGAAAUCUCGGGGCUUAACUCCGAAACUGCAUUCGAUACUGCCGUGCUUGAGGACUGGAGAGGAGACUGGAAUUUACGGUGUAGCGGUGAAAUGCGUAGAUAUCGUAAGGAAGACCAGUGGCGAAGGCGGGUCUCUGGACAGUUCCUGACGCUGAGGCACGAAGGCCAGGGGAGCAAACGGG
rnacentral:rRNA from 1 species